CGAAGGCAGUCCCUACUCUUUUCAGCUACUGUCCCAAAGGAGGUUCGUCGCAUAUCUCAACUUGUUCUGAAAAGAGAAUAUGACUAUGUUGAUACAGUGGGCCUUGGACUGGAAACAAAUCCAAAGGUUAAGCAAUUUUAUCUAGUUGCACCGCAUGAACAACACUUUCAAGUUGUGCACCAUCUUUUGUCAAGCCAUAUCUCAGAAGUGCCUGAUUACAAGGUCAUUGUUUUUUGUACAACAGCUAUG
rnacentral:misc_RNA from 1 species